GUCUACGGCCAUACCACCCUGAACACACCUGAUCUCAUCUGAUCUUAGAAGCUUAGCAGGGUUAGGCCUGGUUAGUACUUGGAUGGGAGGAAAGAACUAGUCAGGCA
rnacentral:rRNA from 1 species